AUUGAACGCUGGCGGCAUGCUUUACACAUGCAAGUCGAACGGUAACAGGCCGCAAGGUGCUGACGAGUGGCGAACGGGUGCGUAAUGCAUCGGAACGUGCCCAGUAGUGGGGGAUAACGCAGCGAAAGCUGUCCUAAUACCGUAUACGAUCCAUGUAUGAAAGCGGGGGACCGUGAGGCCUCGCGAGAUUGGAUCGGCCGAUGUCAGAUUAGGGAGUUGGUGGGGUAAAGGCCUACCAAGCCGACGAUCUGUACCUGGUCUGAGAGGACGACCAGCCACACUGGGACUGAGACACGGCCCAGACUCCUACGGGAGGCAACAGUGGGGAAUUUUGGACAAUGGGCGCAAGCCUGAUCCAGCAAUGCCGCGUGCAGGAAGAAGGCCUUCGGGUUGUAAACUGCUUUUGUACGGAACGAAACGGUCUGGGUUAAUACCCUGGGCUAAUGACGGUACCGUAAGAAUAAGCACCGGCUAACUACGUGCCAGCAGCCGCCGUAAUAC
rnacentral:rRNA from 1 species